GAUGAACGCUGGCGGCGUGCCUAAUACAUGCAAGUCGAGCGAACAGACGAGGAGCUUGCUCCUCUGACGUUAGCGGCGGACGGGUGAGUAACACGUGGAUAACCUACCUAUAAGACUGGGAUAACUUCGGGAAACCGGAGCUAAUACCGGAUAAUAUAUUGAACCGCAUGGUUCAAUAGUGAAAGACGGUUUUGCUGUCACUUAUAGAUGGAUCCGCGCCGCAUUAGCUAGUUGGUAAGGUAACGGCUUACCAAGGCAACGAUGCGUAGCCGACCUGAGAGGGUGAUCGGCCACACUGGAACUGAGACACGGUCCAGACUCCUACGGGAGGCAGCAGUAGGGAAUUUUCCGCAAUGGGCGAAAGCCUGACGGAGCAACGCCGCGUGAGUGAUGAAGGCCUUCGGAUCGUAAAACUCUGUUAUUAGGGAAGAACAAAUGUGUAAGUAACUAUGCACGUCUUGACGGUACCUAAUCAGAAAGCCACGGCUAACUACGUG
rnacentral:rRNA from 1 species